GACGGUAGAGCUCAGUGGUAGAGCAUGUACCUAGCGUGCACGAGGUCCUGGGUUCAAUCCCCAGUUGCUCCA
rnacentral:tRNA from 1 species